UACGAAGGGGGCUAGCGUUGCUCGGAAUCACUGGGCGUAAAGGGUGCGUAGGCGGGUCUUUAAGUCAGAGGUGAAAUCCUGGAGCUCAACUCCAGAACUGCCUUUGAUACUGAGGAUCUUGAGUUCGGGAGAGGUGAGUGGAACUGCGAGUGUAGAGGUGAAAUUCGUAGAUAUUCGCAAGAACACCAGUGGCGAAGGCGGCUCACUGGCCCGAUACUGACGCUGAGGCACGGAAAGCGUGGG
rnacentral:rRNA from 1 species